CCUCGGGAGGCUGCAGUGGGGAAUAUUGGACAAUGGGCGAAAGCCUGAUCCAGCCAUGCCGCGUGUGUGAAGAAGGCCUUCGGGUUGUAAAGCACUUUCAGUGGGGAAGAAAGCCUUGGGGCUAAUACCCUCGAGGAAGGACAUCACCCACAGAAGAAGCACCGGCUAACUCCGUGCCAGCAGCUGCGGUAAUACGGAGGGUGCGAGCGUUAAUCGGAAUUACUGGGCGUAAAGCGCGCGUAGGCGGUCUGAUAAGCCGGUUGUGAAAGCCCCGGGCUCAACCUGGGAACGGCAUCCGGAACUGUCAGGCUAGAGUGCAGGAGAGGAAGGUAGAAUUCCCGGUGUAGCGGUGAAAUGCGUAGAGAUCGGGAGGAAUACCAGUGGCGAAGGCGGCCUUCUGGACUGACACUGACGCUGAGGUGCGAAAGCGUGGGUAGCAAACAGGAUUAGAUACCCGGGUAGUC
rnacentral:rRNA from 1 species